UCCUACGGGGGGCAGCAGUGAGGAAUAUUGGUCAAUGGGCGCGAGCCUGAACCAGCCAAGUCGCGUGAGGGAAGACGGUCCUAUGGAUUGUAAACCUCUUUUGUCGGGGAGCAAAAGACGCCACGCGUGGCGUUCCGAGAGUACCCGAAGAAAAAGCAUCGGCUAACUCCGUGCCAGCAGCCGCGGUAAUACGGAGGAUGCGAGCGUUAUCCGGAUUUAUUGGGUUUAAAGGGUGCGCAGGCGGAAGAUCAAGUCAGCGGUAAAAUUGAGGGGCUCAACCUCUUCGUGCCGUUGAAACUGGUUUU
rnacentral:rRNA from 1 species